GAUGAAGAACGCAGCAAAAUGCGAUAAGUAAUGUGAAUUGCAGAAUUCAGUGAAUCAUCGAAUCUUUGAACGCACAUUGCGCCCGCCAGUAUUCUGGCGGGCAUGCCUGUUCGAGCGUCAUUUCAACCCUCAAGCACAGCUUGGUGUUGGGACUCGCGUUAAUUCGCGUUCCUCAAAUUGAUUGGCGGUCACGUCGAGCUUCCAUAGCGUAGUAGUAAAACCCUCGUUACUGGUAAUCGUCGCGGCCACGCCGUUUAACCCCAACUUCUGAAUGUUGACCUCGGAUCAGGUAGGAAUACUCGCUGAACUUAAGCAUAUCAAUAAGCGGAGGA
rnacentral:misc_RNA from 1 species